rnacentral:misc_RNA from 1 species
AACUUUUUGCAAUGGAUCUCGUGGCUCUCGCGUCGAUUAAGAACGCAGCGAAAUGCGAUAAGUAAUGUGAAUUGCAGAAUUCAGUGAAUCAUCAAAUCUUUGAACGCACAUUGCACCCUCUGGUAUUCCAGAGGGUAUGCCUGUUCGAGCGUCAUUACAACCUUCAAGCACUGCUUGGUAUUGGAUGUCACCAUUGUGGUGCAUCUCAAAAGUAUUGGUAGUAGCAUUCAGCUUCUAGUGUAGUAAAUUUCUCGCUUUGGAGUUUAAGUGUCUACCGCUAGAACCCUUAAUUUAUCAAAGGUUGACCUCGGAUCAGGUAGGGAUACCCGCUGAACUUAAGCAUAUCAAUAAGCGGAGGCU